rnacentral:piRNA from 1 species
CCCAUUCAGUUCAGUUUGGUGUCUCUAACCUC